rnacentral:rRNA from 1 species
UACGAAGGGGGCGAGCGUUGUUCGGAAUUACUGGGCGUAAAGGGCGCGCAGGCGGCCCUUUAAGUCAGGCGUGAAAGCCCCGGGCUCAACCUGGGAGGUGCGCUUGAUACUCGAGGGCUUGAGUGCGGGAGAGGAGAGUGGAAUUCCCAGUGUAGAGGUGAAAUUCGUAGAUAUUGGGAAGAACACCAGUGGCGAAGGCGACUUACUGGACACAUAUUGACGCUGAGGUGCGAAAGCGUGGGGAGCAAACAGG